rfam:Flavobacterium sp. 316 scaffold_3, whole genome shotgun sequence.
UAUUCACUUUAGGGGUGUCUGUAAUUUUACAGGCUGAGAUUUUACCCUCUGAACCUGAUUUAGUUCAUACUAGCGUAGGGAAAAGUAAGAUGACUUCA